rnacentral:rRNA from 1 species
GACGAACGCUGGCGGCGUGCUUAAUACGUGCAAGUAGAACGCUGAAGAGAGGAGCUUGCUCUUCUUGGAUGAGUUGCGAACGGGUGAGUAACGCGUAGGUAACCUGCCUGGUAGCGGGGGAUAACUAUUGGAAACGAUAGCUAAUACCGCAUAAAAUUGAUUAUUGCAUGAUAAUUAAUUGAAAGAUGCAAUUGCAUCACUACCAGAUGGACCUGCGUUGUAUUAGCUAGUUGGUGAGGUAACGGCUCACCAAGGCGACGAUACAUAGCCGACCUGAGAGGGUGAUCGGCCACACUGGGACUGAGACACGGCCCAGACUCCUACGGGAGGCAGCAGUAGGGAAUCUUCGGCAAUGGGGGGAACCCUGACCGAGCAACGCCGCGUGAGUGAAGAAGGUUUUCGGAUCGUAAAGCUCUGUUGUAAGAGAAGAAACGGGUGUGAGAGUGGAAAGUUUCAACAACUGUGAACGGUAUCUUACCAGAAAAGG